AACGGAGCGGAAAAGCAGGAGGAGAGGCGUGGUGCCCGCUGUCUAGAAGCGGAUGCGAGGCCCCCUGAGCCCGCAGUUGACGGCGGUGCCCUCGUUCCCGCCCUGCUCGCCGCCUCUCCCGGCGCCGCUCUUCCCACGGCCGGUGGCCGAGGCCGCGCCGAUGAACCCGGCUCAGGACUUGCAUCUUCUAGGUCCCAUGUUGUCCAGCUAGAGCUGAGAGGGAGUGGACAUGGCUCCAGGCACAGCACGAGAGCCUCAGAGUGGGCCUGGCCCUGGUGAUUCACAUCUGGGGGAGGAUGUGAUGUCACAGCUGGGUUCACAUCAUACCAGGAACAUGUCCUGUGCCCAGCACUGUUUGGGUGUGUUGCACCCCAACCUUGAGUCUUUUGCCUGGCUGCUGACAUGGAGCUGAGGACCAAUAGACACCUUCUGGGCAGAAUAUUUCUGUAGAAGUGCCCCAGAUACAUCCUUCAACGGCAGACUUGUCCACCCAGACGACCUGUCCCUGGGAGAGGUGUAGGCUGGAAGAGCUGCACAGUCCCUGCUUCCACAUUGUCGUCACAUUGCGGGAAGCUGGGGAGGAUUUCCCUGGUAGCUCUGGCUUCCCCCUCCCAGCAGCCCUGGGAUCUAUUUGCUUUCCUUUAACAAAGACUUCGCCUGCUUGCUGCCUGUGUGUUCCUGGAGUUCAUUUCUUUGACUGCCCUGAUCAGGAACCCGGAUUCCCAUAUCAUCUUUCUGGUGGUAUCUUUUGGGGACUAGUCUGGGAUCCAAUCCAAUACAUCUGCACUCAUAAGAACGUCUGAGUCCCUGCCAGAUCUCCAGCAACAGAUUCAUGGGAUGUCUGAUCCAGCUCGCCCUCUGGAACUAGUUGACCUCUUCCUCCUGGUGGAAAUAUUUCAUCACCAUAGCCAUCAUCAUGAUCUUUAAUCCUUUUAUUUGGACCCUAUAUAAUUAAUUGUAUUUCUCACUUCAUUACAUCCCAGUUAAAAACUAUGGACCUGGAGUUCCCGUCGUGGCUCAGGGGUUAACGAAUCCGACUAGGAACCAUGAGGUUGCAGGUUCAACCCCUGGCCUUGCCCAGUGGGUUAAGGAUCUGCCAUUGCUGUGAGCUGUGGUGUAGGCCACAGACAUGGCUCAGAUCCCACGUUGCUGUGGCUCUGGUAUAGGCUGGUGGCUAUAGCUCUGAUUUGACGCCCUAGCCUGGGAACCUCCAUAUGCCGUGGGAGCAGCCCUAGAAAAGGAAAAAAGACACCCCCCCCCCAAAAAAAAAAAAAAAAA
rnacentral:lncRNA from 1 species